AAUAAAGUGGCUGAGGUAAAAGCGAUAAAUUGUAAAUUUAUUAACGAAUAUUAUAUUCCUUUAUUA
rnacentral:tRNA from 1 species